UUUAGUGCCAGCAUUGUUAAAUCGGCUGUAUUAGAAAACUGAUCAUCUAAUUAAUGAGUCAACUUUCAACAGUUGAAUAAUUCAAUUCUUCUACAAAUAGUUUAAUGAUGGAAGCAUUUUUCUGGUCAUAUGACCACAAAUAAAAUGUUACCUAUAGUUUAUUUUCCGAAAUAUAACAAAUAUCACAACAAAUCCCUCUUUGGUACGGUGAGGUAUUCCCUCUCAGAACGAUGUGACAAAAUGAGACAAAUCAUUAGCACUGUGGACCAAUUUUCAUUUGGUUGGACAAUGGCCAACAGUCUCAGCAUUUACACCUGUGAUUUUAAUUAAUGGCAGCACUGUUAAAGCCGCUGUGUUAUAAAAUAGAUCCCCCAAUUAAUCAGAGACAACAUUUUAACAGCUCUGUGGCUUAAAGCAAAAAAAAAAAAAAAGAUCACAAACUGAAAACAAACAUACGGAGGCGAACAGGUGCUGUACCAAACUCUCAUAUUUGUCAAGACAAGAUGAUUAUGCAUGCACAAUUCACUUAGUGCACACCAAUAAAUUAAUACGAUAAAAAAUAUAAUAUGGUAGAUAGUUUGAUUUUCCAAAAGCAAACAACAACUGCAACAAAUCCCUCUCCCUAGUGUACGCUCAAGACUGCGAGACAUCACAAAUCAUUGUCCUAUUUUGGACAAUAAUUUGGACCAAACUGUCCUAUCUGUCAAGACAAGAUGUUUUUGUUUGUACAAUUCACUUCUGACAAAACAUGACAAAUCGUUGGCAUGACAAGAUAGGACAAAAAUCGCAACAAAUCCAAUCUUAGGAUGCUGAGGUCAUCCCUCCCAGGGCUGUGUGACAAAAUAAGACAAAUUAUUAGCAAUCUGGACUAAAAAGGCUUGAAUUUUCAUGAGGGGCCUCCUGUCUCUAAAACCUGGCACAGAGUUUUCGUGUAUGUCCAUUGCCAAGUUCCUAACUUGUGCACGGAGGUCUUGUGAAAGAAGGCCUGCUCAGGGAAAGUUGAAGGGGCGUGGCUCUUCUGUGCACGAGCCGCUUUUUUUUUUUUGUUUGUUUACGCGCCGAUCCUGAAUUGUAAACUCGCCUCCAGUGAAAAAGCGCGAGCUUCAUCGAGCUCAGGUCGCGUGCGCGCAUUAUAAAUGCUCAGUAUUUCUCGCAGCUUCUCAGCUCACGGGGUUCCUUCAGCUCGAGGCGAGGCUGUCAAACAAAACUACAUUUACGCACUUUAGCCCACCCCCCUAUCCCCCUCCAAAAUCCCCCCUUAAAAACCACGUACAAUCACGAAACAUCUGUCCAUGAAGCGACUGACACCACACUUGUCCAGUUUAAGAUUGGAGCCUAUGACCUGGUCACAGCCAGCCUUGAUGCACUGUCCCUGGACACAGAUAGAUGUCGUAUCGGGACCACAGGUCUGAAUGUUGCAGGACUGGUAUUUCACUCUCUGACCAACGCAGUAUGAUCCUCCAUUCUGUGGCAUUGGAUUUGUGCACUCACGUUGAGAGAACUCAACACCACCUCCACAUGUCCGAGAGCAUGGACCCCAG